rnacentral:rRNA from 1 species
UGUCUUUUUGAAGUUAAUUUAAAGUCUAAUCUGCCCACUGAUUUAAUAUUAAAGGGCUGCAGUAUUUUGACUGUACAAAGGUAGCAUAAUCAUUAGUCAUUUAAUUGAUGACUUGUAUGAAAGAUUGGAUGAAGUAUAAUCUGUCUCUUAAUUAAUAAGUAGAAUUUAAUUUUUUGAUUAAAAAGUUAAAAUAGUUUAAAAAGACGAGAAGACCCUAUAGAGUUUUAUAAAUAAAGUUAAUUAAUAUUAUUUAUAAAAAUUAAAUUAAAAUUUUUUUAUUUAUUAUAUUGGGGUGAUAGAAAAAUAUAUUUAACUUUUUUUUUUAUUUAAAACAUCUAUAAGUGAUUAAAUGACCCAAUAUUAUUGAUUAUAAGAAAAAAUUCCCUUAGGGAUAACAGCGUAAUUUUUUUUUUUAGUUCGUAUAAGAAAGAGAGUUUGCGACCUCGAUGUUGGAUUAAGAUAAAAUUUAAAUGUAGAAG